AAUCUUCGGAGAGGUACGAGUACACUAAAGGAGCGCACGCUGUGCUGUGUGUGUGUGUGGUGCGAAAGAAAUACGUACGCAGUGAAGGAUCCAAUGCACGGAUUGACACAACGCUGAUUACUACAAGCUUGGUUGAGUGUACACUCAGCGCUAAUGAUACAUUCCGGGCGACAAGAAGGAGGUGACCCAAUGUUGUUCGGAGCGCACGAGCAGGCGGCUUGCCCAUUUACAUUCCUGCACAGACUGUUUGGUCCACACGGGGAUGGUUGACAGGGAUUUGUAAUAACGGGUUCUGGAAUAAAUCAGUUGUUUUAAUUUUA